AAAGAAGGGGUAUAGGUAAGGUGGCGUUCAGGUGUACCCCACCCCAAACACAAAACAGCAGCCCUAACAGUACCACCAUUUCCCUGAGACAGCUGCAGGCAGGAACCCUAAAGCAGCAGAGUGCCAGAACCCACGAGAGGUGCAGGCAGUUCCCUGGUGCUAGGGCCAGCCAGGAAGAGAUAGUGGGGGGACGAUCCGCAGGGUUGGGGAAACAGGGGGUUUCCCGCCCCGCCCCACCCUGGGCUCUCUGUCCCUCCGCAGCCGGGGAUUGCUCCCACCCCUCCUCGAGGCGGCGGUUGGUAAGGCUUCGUGCCUGGCCUCCGCAAAGAGUUCGGCUCUGUCAGCCUCUGCCCUGUCUCAGGGCCAAACUUAGGUAGGGUAGGGAGCAACUGUGGAUUGCCUGGUCCGGGCUAAGGGACAUCUCUUGGGGCCUAUGGAUAAGGAGCAUCCCCGGUUGCAAGCGUAGGGUUGUAAGUUUGUAGGGUUCAGCGGGGCAGCUUGGCAGUUACACAGAGAGGCUGAGGGAGGGCUUCAAAGGUAAAAGGCUCAAGGAGUAGAGAUGAACAAUUAGAAUAAGGGGUACACGAUGGGAUAUAAGGUAGAGUACAAGUGUUCCCCACUGUGAGCCCCAACUCUGAAUAGCAGCUCUCACAGCACACUUAUUUCUCUGAAACAGCUGCAGGCAGGAAACCUAAAGCAGGAGAGUGCCAGAACCCCAGAGAGGUGCAGGCAGUAAACCUUGUACUAGGGCCAUUUCAGAAGAGAUAGCAUUUGUGUACAGCCCACUGCUGUGGGAUAACUGAGGGUUUCCUGACCCGGCCUGCCCUGGACUCCCUGUCCCUCCACAACUGGGGAGCUUCUAACCCCUCAUCAAGGUGGUGGUCAUUCAGUUCCACACCAAUACUGCCCUGAAGAGUUUGGCUCUGCAAGCCUGAGCAUCCUAGCAGGACUGAAGCAUACAGCCCCAGGACCUGGGCAUUCCCAGGAGACGGUGAGUGCUGCGUUUUCGUAGAUGUGCUGAGAAGAUCUCACAUUGAUAUUUGGAUGUCUUUAUUGUAGCUGACAAGGAGACAACAGCAUGGUGAUGGCAGGAACUCGGCAGACGGCGAGGCGGCAUUCCUUGGCAGCCCGUGUGGACUCUCACCCCCCGGACGUCCGAGAGCUAACUCAAAGGCUACGAUCCGCAGAGGGGGGAUGGAAGCGGGGUGCCGGGCUGGGACUCGUGGCCAGGAAGUUUUGAGUCUGCUUUGGACGUAGCGAGGUUCAAGAAGUGGCCCUUUAGGCCACCUCAAGGGAAAGCCUCACUUUGGCUCCCAAUGCCGAGGUGCACAGGGCAGAGCGGUCCGGGGAUGUGUCGGGUCACUUGUCUGUCGUGCCUUAUGUGCACCUCGUGUCGUAUGUGUCUUGCCUUAGCCCUUCCAGGACGUUACAGGAAACCCUGGCGUCACUCUUAACAUCUCUGAUCUCUUGGCUCCUCGGCCUGGCGCUGACACUGUCAGAGCUGUGCCUCGGGACCUCUCAGAGGCCUUGGAAUCCCAUCUCUGUUUUUAAGCGUCCGAUCGGGUGUCUUUAGAGGUCUUGUUCUGAGCUGUGGCCACAGCCGUGCGCCGCAAGGAUCCAUUGUAGCGGGCUAGGACUUGUCCGAA